GCUUACGGCCAUACCAACCUGUCUGCGGUGGAUCUCGUCUGAUCUCAGAAGCUAAGCAGGGUUGGGCUUGGUUAGUACUUGGAUGAGAGACUGCAUGGAAGUACCAGGAGCUGUAAGCU
ensembl:rRNA 5S_rRNA 5S ribosomal RNA